GAUGAACGCUGGCGGCGUGCCUAACACAUGCAAGUCGAGCGGCAGCGCGGGGUGCUUGCACCCUGUCGGCGAGCGGCGGACGGCUGAGUAACGCGUGGGAACGUGCCCCAAAGUGAGGAAUAACUGCCCGAAAGGGUAGCUAAUCCCGCAUAUUAUCUUCGGAUCAAAGGAUUUAUCCGCUUUGGGCGCGGCUCGCGUCGGAUUAGGUAGUUGGUGAGGUAAUGGCUCACCAAGCCGACGAUCCGUAGCUGGUCUGAGAGGAUGACCAGCCAGACUGGAACUGAGGCACGGUCCAGACUCCUACGGGAGGCAGCAGUGAGGAAUCUUCCACAAUGGGCGAAAGCCUGAUGGAGCAACGCCGCGUGCAGGACGAAGGCCUUCGGGUUGUAAACUGCUUUUAUAAGUGAGGAAUAUGACGGUAACUGAUGAAUAAGGAUCGGCUAACUACGUG
rnacentral:rRNA from 1 species